rnacentral:rRNA from 1 species
AGCAGCCGCGGUAAUUCCAGCUCCAAUAGCGUAUAUUAAAGUUGUUGCAGUUAAAAAGCUCGUAGUUGAACUUCGGGAUUUGUCCAUUGGUCAGGCUUAACUGUCUGUACUGGUGAGUCGAAUUCCUACCUUCUGAGGAACUUCCAUGCCAUUCACUUGGUGUGUUGGGGAAUCAGGACUGUUACUUUGAAAAAUUGAGUGUUUAAAGCAGGCUAACGUC